AAAUUGAAGAGUUUGAUCAUGGCUCAGAUUGAACGCUGGCGGCAGGCCUAACACAUGCAAGUCGAACGGUAACAGGAAGCAGCUUGCUGCUUUGCUGACGAGUGGCGGACGGGUGAGUAAUGUCUGGGAAACUGCCUGAUGGAGGGGGAUAACUACUGGAAACGGUAGCUAAUACCGCAUAACGUCGCAAGACCAAAGAGGGGGACCUUCGGGCCUCUUGCCAUCAGAUGUGCCCAGAUGGGAUUAGCUUGUUGGUGGGGUAACGGCUCACCAAGGCGACGAUCCCUAGCUGGUCUGAGAGGAUGACCAGCCACACUGGAACUGAGACACGGUCCAGACUCCUACGGGAGGCAGCAGUGGGGAAUAUUGCACAAUGGGCGCAAGCCUGAUGCAGCCAUGCCGCGUGUAUGAAGAAGGCCUUCGGGUUGUAAAGUACUUUCAGCGGGGAGGAAGGUGUUGUGGUUAAUAACCACAGCAAUUGACGUUACCCGCAGAAGAAGCACCGGCUAACUCCGUGCCAGCAGCCGCGGUAAUACGGAGGGUGCAAGCGUUAAUCGGAAUUACUGGGCGUAAAGCGCACGCAGGCGGUCUGUUAAGUCAGAUGUGAAAUCCCCGGGCUCAACCUGGGAACUGCAUCUGAUACUGGCAGGCUUGAGUCUCGUAGAGGGGGGUAGAAUUCCAGGUGUAGCGGUGAAAUGCGUAGAGAUCUGGAGGAAUACCGGUGGCGAAGGCGGCCCCCUGGACGAAGACUGACGCUCAGGUGCGAAAGCGUGGGGAGCAAACAGGAUUAGAUACCCUGGUAGUCCACGCCGUAAACGAUGUCGACUUGGAGGUUGUGCCCUUGAGGCGUGGCUUCCGGAGCUAACGCGUUAAGUCGACCGCCUGGGGAGUACGGCCGCAAGGUUAAAACUCAAAUGAAUUGACGGGGGCCCGCACAAGCGGUGGAGCAUGUGGUUUAAUUCGAUGCAACGCGAAGAACCUUACCUGGUCUUGACAUCCACGGAAGUUUUCAGAGAUGAGAAUGUGCCUUCGGGAACCGUGAGACAGGUGCUGCAUGGCUGUCGUCAGCUCGUGUUGUGAAAUGUUGGGUUAAGUCCCGCAACGAGCGCAACCCUUAUCCUUUGUUGCCAGCGGUUAGGCCGGGAACUCAAAGGAGACUGCCAGUGAUAAACUGGAGGAAGGUGGGGAUGACGUCAAGUCAUCAUGGCCCUUACGACCAGGGCUACACACGUGCUACAAUGGCAUAUACAAAGAGAAGCGACCUCGCGAGAGCAAGCGGACCUCAUAAAGUAUGUCGUAGUCCGGAUUGGAGUCUGCAACUCGACUCCAUGAAGUCGGAAUCGCUAGUAAUCGUGGAUCAGAAUGCCACGGUGAAUACGUUCCCGGGCCUUGUACACACCGCCCGUCACACCAUGGGAGUGGGUUGCAAAAGAAGUAGGUAGCUUAACCUUCGGGAGGGCGCUUACCACUUUGUGAUUCAUGACUGGGGUGAAGUCGUAACAAGGUAACCGUAGGGGAACCUGCGGUUGGAUCACCUCCUUACCUGAAAGAA
rnacentral:rRNA from 1 species